ensembl:misc_RNA 7SK 7SK RNA
GGAUGUGAGGGUGAUCUGGCUUGUGAUGUCAGUCACCUUAUCGAUUGCCAGGGUUGACUUGGCUGGCCUUCCUUCUCCAUACGUAUCCCUCCUGAAGUUGCCCACUCUGCGGAAGGAAAACCUUCCCUGAAUAGAAAGAAGACUGUCAUGGGUAUACAAGUAGCUGUGGUCCCUGCAAGAACCUCCAAACAAGUUCUCAAGAAUUACAACAUUUUUAAAGCACAAGGUCUUCCAGGAUGUGGUGGUGCUCACCUUUAAUCCCAGCACUCAGGAGGCAGAGGCCAGCAAAUCUCUCUGAGUUU